rnacentral:rRNA from 1 species
GACAGAGGGUGCAAACGUUGUUCGGAAUUACUGGGCGUAAAGCGCGUGUAGGCGGCCCUGCAAGUCGGAUAUGAAAUCCCACGGCUCAACCGUGGAAGUGCAUUCGAAACUGCAGGGCUAGAGUCCUGGAGAGGAAGGUGGAAUGCUUGGUGUAGAGGUGAAAUUCGUAGAUAUCAAGCGGAACACCGGUGGCGAAGGCGGCCUUCUGGACAGUGACUGACGCUGAGACGCGAAAGCGUGGGGAGCAAACAGG